rnacentral:pre_miRNA from 1 species
CUCAAGUGAGGUCAGUGCUGCUGUGUUUUCUAACAGGGGCACUGUCUUCAAUUGAAAC